rnacentral:sRNA from 1 species
GUAUUUACAUUGUAAAUACGAAACUCGGUGUGUGUAGCUAAAUGUAAAGAGACUAGAUUUUAACCCCCGUAUACCGCGGGACGAUUUAUUUUUUAAAAGUAAUAU